AAGGCCUGAGGCAAUGUACAGCACUGCUCUUGCUGUGCCACGAGUGUGGACCCAGAGCGCCUUGCAGGAUACAAGAAUUCAGCAGGGAGACACACAGGGGACAGCAGGAAUGAUUCUUUAAACUGGAACCUCAGCCAAAUGUCAACAGAAUUUCGGUCCCAGGCCUACUUGAUCUUGUCCAUUUGGCACUGCUGGAGGAAUAACAAGUUUCUUCCCGUCAUGCACCUUCCUGGGAUACAUCAUGACAGAGAAAUCUCAAAGCCCAGGUCAAUUAUAACAGAAGAUGUGUAGCACCUCUGCCCCCACAGCGUCUUCUGGGGAUCCACUUGGCAAAAUGAUAUAAAACUAUUUUCGAAGACUUCCCAUGAUCUAGCACUACUCAGAACUAAGUGGUUGGCAAAAUGCAAGGAAAUAUGAAUAUGCAGCUCAGCUCAUCUCCUUCUGUUUGCCAAGGAGCCAACCAACAUUUCCUGUGAGGAGGGGCCUGAGGCUGCAGAGUCCUCACCGAAAGUGCCUUCAUCACCCUGGCAGUCCAAAGCGCUGGGGCUCCUGCUGGUGCUCUCCAUGCAGGAAGCGGCGCCUUUGAACAGUGCGAGCACUCACCAGGCAGAGGAAGCUGGAAAAUUUGGGGUAACUCUUGCCUUUUGGGGGAAGCUGAAGCAUCACCCUUCAGUCCUGCUUCCUGCUGCAGGCACUGUCUGUGCCAUUCAUGUGGAGCACUGGUUUGGUGACAGCCAUGGACUGGAACUGUAGGACAUGGUCUCCCUUUGGAAAAUGGGGUGGUUUUGAUGGAGAGAAUCAGAUGUGCCUUCAGUGCAGCCCUGCUCUGGACAGCUUGCAGAAGGACGGAGGUCUGCCUGAAGUUACAGCAGCAGAAGAGGGGACAGUCUCACAGGUCAGCACUCAGCAAGAUGUGGCACAAAGCACCACCCAA